AUAGAUUUUAGGGAUUAUGUAGUUCAACUCCACCAUUUAGACAGGUCAUCUUGAAAAGCAUAACCUGAAUAGACUCUAGCAGUCACUUGUGUGUACUCAGCAAAGAACUGGUAUGUUCCUGGAUGCAGUGUUAUGUUGCCUGCAUUGCUGCGGAUGGUUGAUCUCACCAUGCAUUCCGCUCAGUCAUUAUUCACCAACCCUAUAGUGAGAAAAAGGCUGCCAUUCACAAAGUUCUCAGUUGAACCACAUUGGCUCUCUGAGGUAUCCAUUUCAGCAGGGAUGCAAGUUUCUGGCAGAGGAAGAAGCAGCAACAAUGCCCAACAAAAGUGCCAGCGGCAGCAGAAGAGAUUGGAAAAAGUCUUGCCAAUGCCUGAUGGAGACAGUGCAUCCGUGGGGAACAGAAUGUAUUGAACAGAUAAUACCACACUUGCAGCUCACAAGGUCCAGCAAAAAAGCAGUCUUUGAGGAAAAAGCAAAAUACUUAAGGUAGAAAUUGUGGGCAGAUGAGUGGCCAUUUCCUUGGAAGUGAAUGGCACGGAGACUGGAGAAAGAAGGAUUGUUUGAAUGGCAGAGAAGCUGUAAGAACUAGCUCACUUCCGUUCCUACUUCACUAGAGGUUUCCUUACUCCUGGACCCAUCCAGAUGAAUGAGCAUACCAUGAAACUCGCUGGUUGCCGUGCCGUAAGGAAGGAGCCCUGGAUGUCGUUACAAUGACAUAUUCAAUCCCAAAGGGAUGCACUUGACUUCCUCUCACAAUUCAUUGGCCAAAACUAGUCAGAUGGUGACAUGGGGAAGUGGAAGGGCAACCUCACCAUGAUUCUAGGAGACUAUGAGGUGAAAACAAUAAAAAAAUAGCACUGAUGACUGGAACACUUUUCAACUCCUUGACAUCUGGCUUGUAUGCAAAGAACUCCCAGGAUUUGUUAUCACCAAUGACAAGUUAACAUAUUUCCACUUUAUAUUUCUUGAGUUUCCUGUAGCACUUUAAAUUGUUGAAUUAAAUUUAUUCAUUAUUGAA